UCCCUGCGGCUCAACUCCCACGACCCAAAUUCCGUCGUUAAAACCCCAAUAUUCCUUUAACCUAGAGGAGGAGAACAUCAGAUAUCCGAUCCCUUCCCCAUUUUAAAACCUAACUAUUUGAAGAGAUAGACCCCUUCCUCUUCCGACACAAGCAGCGGCAUAAGAGAGAAGGGCAGCGCCAUCCCCCCCCCCCAUCUUCUUCUUCUUCAGCCAUGGUUCUCUCUUAAAACAUCAAGAAUACCACUGUCUCCCCUCUCAUUUUCCACCAUUAACGCCAAACAGUCAUGGAAACCAACGUACCAGUAGCUUCGUUCUCGGCCAGUUUCAAUUUUGAAAUUCCAUUAAAAUAGCUUCGAAAUAGGCAUUGGAACCACUAAAAACUUAAGAUGAAAUCACCCAAGAAAAUGCUCUAAAACGCAGCAUUUCAAAACGCCCUCAAACCACCCCUAAAACACAUGAAAUCAGUCCAAAAAUUGCCAAAAAAUCAGCUGCAAAAAUAGCAGAAACGCGGCUGCAAGUCAGCACAAAAACAUGCUGAAACUAGUUUCUUUUAGCUGUGGUGUUUUUCUGGAAAAGAAUUGGUUUCUUUAGCUGCGGUUUUCUGGUUAAAAUUGGUUGAUUUUGGCUUAUUUUCUAGUUGGUAUUCUGAGUUGUUGUUGUCUGGUUGCUGUUGGUUAAGCUCCAAAUCCCAUCUAUUUAUUGACCUUUAUUUGGUCCAUUUUGUUGCUGUUUUCUCGAUGAAUUUUUGGGAUCGAAGAAGUGUACAUUUGCAGAUUUUUCCAUUGUCAAUGGGAAAAAUUUCAGUUUAGCAGGUUUAUUUCUUCUAUCUUACUCUCAUGUCAAAUGAAUAAAACUUUGAUUGGUUUUGUGAAUCAAGUUCCUCUAUGUUGGUCUAUGUCUAAAAUGAACUUGAACUUAAUUUGUUGUAUGAUUUUGUUCCUUUUGUGCUUGGUGUUCGUUGUUGGCAGUGAUCUAUGAUAACAAAG
rnacentral:lncRNA from 1 species